AUCAUGGCUCAGGAUGAACGCUGGCGGCGUGCCUAACACAUGCAAGUCGAACGGACUUUUCAUGAAGCCUAGCGAUUGAAAAGUUAGUGGCGGACGGGUGAGUAACGCGUGGGUAACCUGCCUUGUACUGGGGGACAACAGUUGGAAACGGCUGCUAAUACCGCAUAAGCGCACAGCUUCGCAUGAAGCAGUGUGAAAAACUCCGGUGGUACAAGAUGGACCCGCGUCUGAUUAGCUGGG
rnacentral:rRNA from 1 species